CCUACGGGGGGCUGCAGUAGGGAAUCUUCCGCAAUGGACGAAAGUCUGACGGAGCAACGCCGCGUGAGCGACGAAGGUCUUCGGAUCGUAAAGCUCUGUUGUUAGGGAAGAACAAGUGCGGGAGGAAAUGACCGUACCUUGACGGUACCUAACGAGGAAGCCACGGCUAACUACGUGCCAGCAGCCCCGGUAAUACGUAGGUGGCAAGCGUUGUCCGGAAUUAUUGGGCGUAAAGCGCGCGCAGGCGGUCUUUUAAGUCUGAUGUGAAAUCUGGCGGCUCAACCGCAAGCGGUCAUUGGAGACUGGGAGACGUGAGUUCCGAGGAGGAAACCGGAAUUCCACGUGUAGCGGUGGAACACGGAGGGAUGUGGAGGGACAGCAGUGGCGAAGGCGACUUUCUUAUCUGUAACUGAGGCUAGGGCGCGAAAGCGUGGGGGUCAAACAUGAUGAGAUACACGUGUAGUC
rnacentral:rRNA from 1 species